GACGAACGCUGGCGGCGUGCCUGACACAUGCAAGUCGGACGGUUCUUGUAUCUUCAAGCUUGCUUGCAGGUGCAAGGAUAGUGGCGGAACGGGUGAGUAACGCGUGAACAUCUACCCAUUGGAGGGGGACAACCCGUCGAAAGGCGGGCUAAUACCGCGUAAGCCGCGAAGGUGAGAGGCUGCCUAUUGGUGGCCGCCGAUGGAUGGGGUUCGCGUCCUAUCAGCUGGUUGGUGGGGUAACGGCCUACCAAGGCGAAGACGGGUAGCCGGUCUGAGAGGAUGGCCGGCCACACCUGGAACUGAGACGACGGUCCAGACUCCUACGGGAGGCAGCAGUGGGGAAUAUUGGGCAAUGGGGGAGACCCUGACCCAGCGACGCCGCGUGAGGGAUGAAGGUUUUCGGAUCGUAAACCUCUGUUGUACGGGAAGAAGGAUGUGACGGUACCGUACGAGAAAGCCCCGGCAAACUACGUGCCAGCAGCCGCGGUAAGAUCACGUGUA
rnacentral:rRNA from 1 species